UGACCGCUGGCGGCGUGCCUAAUACAUGCACGUCGAGCGAACAGACGAGGAGCUUGCUCCUCUGACGUUAGCGGCGGACGGGUGAGUAACACGUGGAUAACCUACCUAUAAGACUGGGAUAACUUCGGGAAACCGGAGCUAAUACCGGAUAAUAUAUUGAACCGCAUGGUUCAAUAGUGAAAGACGGUUUUGCUGUCACUUAUAGAUGGAUCCGCGCCGCAUUAGCUAGUUGGUAAGGUAACGGCUUACCAAGGCAACGAUGCGUAGCCGACCUGAGAGGGUGAUCGGCCACACUGGAACUGAGACACGGUCCAGACUCCUACGGGAGGCAGCAGUAGGGAAUCUUCCGCAAUGGGCGAAAGCUUGACGGAGCAACGCCGCGUGAGUGAUGAAGGUCUUCGGAUCGUAAAACUCUGUUAUUAGGGAAGAACAAAUGUGUAAGUAACUAUGCACGUCUUGACGGUACCUAAUCAGAAAGCCACGGCUAACUACGUG
rnacentral:rRNA from 1 species